GACGAACGCUGGCGGCGUGCCUAAUACAUGCAGGUCGAACGCUUUUUCUUUCACAGGAGCUUGCUCCAUCGAAAGAAAAAGAGUGGCGAACGGGUGAGUAACACGUGGGUAACCUGCCCAUCAGAAGGGGAUAACACUUGGAAACAGGUGCUAAUACCGUAUAACACUAUUUUCCGCAUGGAAGAAAGUUGAAAGGCGCUUUUGCGUCACUGAUGGAUGGACCCGCGGUGUCAUUAGCUAGUUGGUGAGGUAACGGCUCACCAAGGUAACGAUGCAGAGCCGGCCUGAGAGGGAGAUCGGCCACACGGGGACUGAGACACGGACCAGACUCCUACGGGAGGCAGCAGUAGGGAAUCUUCGGAAAUGGACGAAAGUCUGACCGAGCAACGCCGCGUGAGUGAAGAAGGUUUUCGGAUCGUAAAACUCUGUUGUUAGAGAAGAACAAGGAUGAGAGUAAUAUGUUCAUCCCUUGACGGUAUCUAACCAGAAAGCCACGGCUAACCACGUGCCAGCAGCCGCGGUAA
rnacentral:rRNA from 1 species